rnacentral:rRNA from 1 species
AAAUUGAAGAGUUUGAUCAUGGCUCAGAUUGAACGCUGGCGGCAGGCCUAACACAUGCAAGUCGAGCGGAAACGAGUUAUCUGAACCUUCGGGGAACGAUAGCGGCGUCGAGCGGCGGACGGGUGAGUAAUGCCUAGGAAAUUGCCCUGAUGUGGGGGAUAACCAUUGGAAACGAUGGCUAAUACCGCAUGAUGCCUACGGGCCAAAGAGGGGGACCUUCGGGCCUCUCGCGUCAGGAUAUGCCUAGGUGGGAUUAGCUAGUUGGUGAGGUAAGGGCUCACCAAGGCGACGAUCCCUAGCUGGUCUGAGAGGAUGAUCAGCCACACUGGAACUGAGACACGGUCCAGACUCCUACGGGAGGCAGCAGUGGGGAAUAUUGCACAAUGGGCGCAAGCCUGAUGCAGCCAUGCCGCGUGUGUGAAGAAGGCCUUCGGGUUGUAAAGCACUUUCAGUCGUGAGGAAGGUGGUAGUGUUAAUAGCACUAU